AAUAUUGGACAAUGGGCGCAAGCCUGAUCCAGCCAUGCCGCGUGAGUGAUGAAUGCCUUAGGGUUGUAAAGCUCUUUCAGUAGGGAAGUUAACGACGGUACCUACAGAAGAAGCUCCGGCAAACCUCGUGCCAGCAGCCGCGCUAAUACGAAGGGUGCUAGAGUUGUUCGGAUUUACUGGGCGUAAAGCGCACGUAGGCGGUUUGUUAAGUCAGAGGUGAAAUCCCGGGGGUCAACUCCGGAACUGCCUUUGAUACUGGCAAGCUAGAGUCCGGAAGAGGUAAGUGGAACUCCUAGUGUAGAGGUGGAAUUCGUAGAUAUUAGGAAGAACACCAGUGGCGAAGGCGGCUUACUGGUCCGGAACUGACGCUGAGAUGCGAAAGCGUGGGGAGCAAACAGG
rnacentral:rRNA from 1 species